UCUUCACACUUCACUGGACACUUAACCGAAAUUCCAAAACCAUCAUUCCCGAAAACACGAACAUUUAUUAUCCUUUCAUCGUCCAGCUAACGACAUUAUCAUAAUGUUCAAUUUAUAAUUAUUAUUCACCUUACAAAUCGAUUACGUUAGGUAAGAUCAUUGAACAAAAUUAUUUAUACUCCUACAAGACUUAUUUAAAGUCUCCAUUGCAUUCCAUUUUACAGGUAACACGAUCCUAAUCGAUAAGAAUUCCAUCUCGAGGAUCUAUCCACCUCACAAGGACAAACUUCAUUGGCAACAAAUAUACAUAUUAGAGAUAAUCUAGAUUCCCUAUAAUCAAUGUUUUUACGUUAUACACAAUAGCCUAAUGAAAGAAAUUUUUUUAGCAUAGAUGUAUCUAUACUAAGGUUUACGGUGAAAUUCUACAGAAUGCUUUGUAAGGAAAACGUGCCACUUUCACGUCGUCGAAUUAACAACAUCGGAUUUCAAGUAUAACUAGUAUACACAGGGAAAAGUUUCCUCGACUUCUUUUUUCACCAAACGAGCUUUCUCGAUCCCUGAACGAUGUCACUUGAAGUUAAGGUUACACGACGAGGGAAAGACGAGAUCGUUUAGCAACAGCGUGUGACACGAUCCCGAAAAGGAAUUUGAAAAUUCGUAUACGAGAUGCGACGACCUCGAGCCACUUUUCGAGGCCUAUUUGUCUUUCACGAGCGUUUACGAAUUCCAGCCGAGCACGUACGGAGGAUUCGACUGGAUCUUAGCCUCCGACGGCGACCACUUGUUGCAUCGACCGGCCGACCUCCGUGGCGCGAGUGUAUUUCUUCUCUAUGUUUGUUCGGAAGAUACGCUUGCAUUCUUGAACGUUGAAUUCGCCAGAUAGGAACCUUCCAAACGAAUCUCCGAUGAAACCGAACGUUCAAGCUUCGUUCAAAGUUUGAACUUCAACACGUCGGUAGUUUAAAGCCACUUGCGAAAUUCCAAUUAUUGAUAAUUCUAUAUGUAUUAUGGUAUAUUCGUUAGUUUUUGGAUAAAAAAUUUGAAAUUCGAAACUGAAGCUUAUUUGUACUAUCGAUGAUAUAAUGCUUUUUUGUAUGAUUUGAAGAACUUUCCUUUGAAGAACACAGAAAAACAACACACUCUCUACAGCGGUGCAUCGAGCACUGAAUACGAGUCUCGACUUGUGUCCCCUCCAGAAUGGUCUACCCCACCACGGGCCCCGACCAUUUUGCUGGACGAAGGGCUUGAGAACGCGUCUAGGCGUCGAAUAUAUACUUAGAAGUUACUGUAGCAAACGAUGAUGCUGCUGAUCCUUUUCAGGAUCCACUUUCGAUACACGCAAAAUAUGCUCUUUAUGUAAAGAGCGAUUAUUCUCAUUUUUCUGUCUAUGACGAAUCGUUAUCAGGCUAUCGCAAGGACAUCAUGAUGUUUAUCAUACGGACGAAAUAUACUGUGCGACAGUAGUGUGAGGUAGUGAAAUUUCAAUUGCAUAAGAUUGAUUCGGAUUUCUCGCGAGAUGAAAGGUUCAUUGAGAAUAAAUGGAAGCUGUUUAAAGGAGAAAAUUAAGAAAUAAGUAUGGAGAAGCACUGAUUCUUAGAAAAUAUUUUACAUAAAAUAUUCUUGGGAGAAUUAGGAACUUCGUAGAGCCAUCUACAAAGGUUGAAAUGUUGAAAUUUCACGCACUUUCAGGAAGGGACCUGUUAAACCGAUCGAGUCGCCGAUGGGGCUUCGAUCAUUCGAUUUCUUGUUCGAUUUUUUCACAACGAAGAUCCCUGUAACCGCAAUAGCGAGAGAAGAUGAAAGAGAAACAAAGAUAAUUGGCGAGGAUCGUGGUGGGGCUUAAGACAGCCUGCGCCAACUCUCUGGGAACGAGUACAUACGCCGUCGAAGAUGGUUAGGCGAGUACAGAGGGGCGAGGAAGAGGAGGUAGAAGCUGCUUAAGGAGGCCACGGAAUCUGCAGACGUCUCACCGUCGACCAGUUUUCUCAUACGGUCGACAUAUGGUAUGUACCCGGUGGCCUAAACUUCCACAGGAUAAAUCUCUACCUGAGGUGAGCCCUUGACCUGCCUUCUAAUGCAAAACUGAUUACUACAAGCAACAUAUAUUAUCAGAUGUUAACUCAAAAACAUUAAGAAUGGCGUUCAUAUCAUUUCUUAAAUCCUUUUCUGGUUUCCCAUGUAUGUACAUAGAUUCUGAAUUCUAUAAAAUAAGGAGAUCUAAAUACUACAGUCUAGACUAGUAUGGCUGAAUUAGUAUACCAAGCUUGUGUGAGCUAAGUCCGAUGACAUGACUCAAGUCUUGCCAAGGUCUGGGUUAAAUAUAAGUCUAGGCUGGGUCUAGGUUGAAUCUACUUAUAUUAUCGAAAUGAAAUCUUAUAUUUCUACUAAUAUUUGUAAUUUAUGUUACGCGAGAGUUAUCCAGAAUUAAAAUGGAACAAGAUGGUUAUUUAGAACGCGAAAAACGAAAUCAGUCUCUUUGGAAUGUCCGAAUCGAUGACUCGACUCUAACGACUGUAAUCUGAUAAGGAUCGAUUUCAAGGCUUAUUAUGGACCUAUUUUCGUGGCACUAUGCAACGUGUGCAUAUGUGUCAUUAUCACACCCGUAUUGGCGCUUUUCUAUUCAGUUUAGCGGAAAUACAACGCGUCCACUUCGUCAUCGCAAAUAUGUUCAGGCAUAUAGACGUCGAGGCUGCGGAAAAACGAUCCAAAAAAAAACAGGCAGAAAUGCGUCUAAAUAUACAUGGUCGCGAUGCGAUGUUGGAAAGUAUCCUGGCUGGCGUCCACUGGCGCCGAAUCUAAAAAAAGUCUGAGGAAUACGCGUUCGGCAGAUUUAACAUAAUAAGCUCGUUGUACGGGGUGUUGCGAAAAUUCCUAUGAAUAAUCAUUCGAUUCACUGUUUCUUUUCUUUUUAUAUGUACAUACAGUGAAUCACAGAAGUAUUCGAAUACUUGUAUAUACAUUUUAUGGAUAUAUUAUGUUGAAAUUUCAUUAACACUGCCAUGAGACUAUGGCGAGUAAUAUCACAAUAAAUAUAAUCGAUAUAUA